UAAUACGUAGGGGGCAAGCGUUGUCCGGAUUUAUUGGGCGUAAAGAGCGUGUAGGCGGCCAGGUAGGUCAGCUGUGAAAACUCGAGGCUCAACCUCGAGAUGUCGGCUGAAACCAUUUGGCUAGAGUCCGGAAGAGGAGAAUGGAAUUCCCGGUGUAGCGGUGAAAUGCGCAGAUAUCGGGAAGAACACCCGUGGCGAAGGCGGUUCUCUGGGACGGUACUGACGCUGAGACGCGAAAGCGU
rnacentral:rRNA from 1 species